GUCUGGAUGAUAAACUCAAUUGUUACACAUGGUAGAGCAGAACGCUGAUCAUUUUAUUACAGAUGAAAGACUUUAGAUAGUUUUUCAACACUCAGUGAUGCCACAGUGAUCGUGUGAUUUAUGGACCUGCAGGUGCUCUUGGGAGUUUGAGCCAAGACACGGCUAGUGAUGUCAGACUUAAAAGACCGAUAAAGAGUGAUAUGAACAUAUCUAUAACUUACCGGAAUGAAAAUGUCUGGAGCACACCAACAGAUAUUUGGAGAUGGAAGAGAACUGGAUAUCAGCUGGUCUCACAGCUGCUAUCCAGACUAGACGCCUUCUUUUGGUAACAUCCGAUACAUGAGCUGCCUCAUGUUGCUUCCAGGUGGGGAAAGAAUGAAAAGAUAAACCAUUUUCAACCUUAUUCCCUUGCCGGUCGUGCUAUCUAACUUUACAACCGACCGCACAGCAAGUACGAACUGGUGUUAUCCGUGUACUUUCGCUCCUCUUUCGCUAGCGCUUUGUUCGGCCCAGAAACAUGGCGCCUCAACCAAAAAUCCUGGCCACGCCCCCUCGCGUGACAUCACUCUCGACUUCCGGUAUUUCAGACAAUCCCUUUCCGUCAAGGAUUUUUAAUUUGUUGCGGUUUUUUAAUUUGUUGCGGUUUUUUAAUUUGUUGUGGUUUUUUAAUUUUUUGCGGUUUUUUAAUUUGUUGCGUUUUUUUAAUUUGUUGCGGAUUUUUAAUUUGUUGUGGAUUUUUAAUUUGUUGCGGUUUUUUAAUUUGUUGUGGAUUUUUAAUUUGUUGUGGUUUUUUAAUUUGUUGUGGUUUUUUAAUUUGUUGUGGAUUUUUAAUUUGUUGUGGUUUUUUAAUUUGUUGUGGAUUUUUAAUUUGUUGCGUUUUUUAAUUUGUUGUGGUUUUUUAAUUUGUUGCCGUUUUUUAAUUUGUUGCGGAUUUUUAAUUUGUUGCCGUUUUUUAAUUUGUUGCGCUUUACACUUCUCAGCCACCGUACACAACCCAGCCCAAUAAGCAAAAGUUGAUUUAGAUGUCUUUUAGACAGUAAAUUAACAGAAAAUUACUUGGUGGAUAGUUUACCUUAAAGAGUAUAAAAAAGAUAGAACUGGAAACCAACUUUCAUCUUCUGGCUAAAUAAGUCUGUUCAAUAUGAAAUCGUUUUAACAACCAGUGAAGCCUAUUUUAAACCCAAGACUCCAGUUGCAAAGUGUAUGGAUAAUGGAAUUUUUUGCACAGAUAGGUUACUAGCUUUCCUAAUACCAAAACACCUAGUGGUAAAUCACACCUAAAAAUUAGUUUCAUAAAGAAAAGAAGAUCCUCUUUGAAAACAGAUUGAUUCACAGUCCCUGUCACCGGUAUUUCCUCUCAGCAUCUCUGUUUGGACAAAUUCUUGGGGCAAUUAACAGCCAGGUCCUGGGUAGCGUGAGAGGAGUGACUAGCAGAGGAUAAUGAUGGAUUUCUUCAUCCUAUCAGCAAACAGGCCAUGGCCCAUGUCUGCUCAGCCCUCCCCACCACGCCACCAUCUCUGACAUCCACCUGUACAUCAGCCAGGGUUCAUGAAGCAUGACCAGAACAGGAGCCAGAGGGGAUAGAGGAGGAACAUCAGGAUGAACAAACUGUUUCAGACUCUACUUCUGCAUGCUGAAUGCAAACAAAGUCCAGCUCUGUGAGCAAGUUUCUUUAAAAUCUUUGCCAAGUAGCAGUAAGUACA
ensembl:lncRNA